rnacentral:rRNA from 1 species
AUUGAACGCUGGCGGCAGGCUUAACACAUGCAAGUCGAACGAGUGGCGGACGGGUGAGUAAUGCUUGGGAAUCUAGCUUAUGGAGGGGGAUAACUACGGGAAACUGUAGCUAAUACCGCGUACCAUAGGAUGAGCCCAAGUGGGAUUAGGUAGUUGGUGAGGUAAAGGAUCACCAAGCCGACGAUCUCUAGCUGUUCUGAGAGGAUGACCAGCCAAACUGGGACUGAGACACGGCCCAGACUACGACGGGAGGCAGCAGUGGGGAAUAGUGCGAAAGGGGGGAAACCUGACGCAGCCAGGCCGCGUGAAUGAAGAAGGCCUUCGGGUUGUAAAGUUCUUUAGGUAGCGAGGCGUUAACUACAGAAGAAGCACCGGCUAACUCCGUGCCAGCAGCCGCGGUAAUUC